UGGAAUAAUUGAACACACAAAUAGAUAAACAUGCAGCAAGAAAAAGAAGAAACUGCAACAAAUAUAGAAAUGUUAUUAAAAUAAAAUCAGUAGCAGUAGAGCGAUGCUUUUACAUUCUAAUGCCUUACUCAAAGUAUGUUAACACUUCAACUCAACACAAACCAUUAUUCAGAACUAGUAAUCUAUUCACUCAUCUGCAAGUUAAGCUAUAGCCUAACAGUAAAGGUACAAUAAAAAAUCUGAAUGAACUUCACAACAUGCAUGGCACCAAGCUAUAGCACUAGCUGCAUAUAGUUGUAUGCAUGGUUUGCACACUCUUCAAAACACCAUGAAAAAAAAAAAAAAAAAACCAAUAUACUAAGAAGUAAAAACCAUUCGGACCAGGAGUGCAUAAUUCCCCAUGGAUGGAGUUUAGGCCUUCCAUUUCAUGGUUGCUGUUAGCUAAAAGCAACCUCUAGAUUAAGGAAACCUCUGCUGCAGAGUCUUCCCAAGUUGAGCAAGGCAUGCAGUGCCACUUAGUAAUAUCUUUCUCAAGAGAAAGAUGAGUGUGUGAAUUGUCACAAAGAUGAAGGCGAAGAAGACAUGGAAGAUGUUGAAAGAGUAUAUAGAAGACAUCAUUGAACUUUAGCAAAACAAAAUGGUUAACAAAAAGGAGGAAGAGAGAGAGGACAAGGGAAACAGCCAUGUGGUAGAAACAAAUAGAAUAUGGAGACAUGUUUGAUUUGUGUGAACAUAUAAAUAAGUGAAAAAUAUA
rnacentral:lncRNA from 1 species